rnacentral:rRNA from 1 species
AGAAUCAACGCUGGCGGCGCGCUUAACACAUGCAAGUCGAACGAGAAAGUGGAGCAAUCCAUGAGUAAAGUGGCGUACGGGUGAGUAACACGUGGGUAAUCUACCUUUUGGUGGGGAAUAACCCUGGGAAACCGGGGCUAAUACCGCAUAAGCUCGCCAUUUAAGAUGGUGAGGAAAGGAGCAAUUCGCCGAAAGAGGAGCCCGCGGCUGAUUAGCUAGUUGGUAGGGUAAAAGCCUACCAAGGCUAUGAUCGGUAGCCGGCCUGAGAGGGGCACGACGGCCGACACCUGGCACUGAAACACGGGCCAGACUCCUACGGGAGGCAGCAGUGGGGAAUCUUGCACAAUGGGGGAAACCCUGAUGCAGCGACGCCGCGUGAGUGAGUGACGCCCUUCGGGGUGUAAAGCUCUUUCGGCAGGACGAUAAUGACGUACCUGAAGAAGAAGACUGCGGCUAACGUACGUGCCAGCAAGCCGUC